GGCGAGAUGGUCUAGUGGUAAGGACGAAGUGUUUCAAGUGUGUAAAGCCAGGAUCGAUUCCUGGUUGUGACG